UACGUAGGGUGCGGGCGUUAAUCGGAAUUACUGGGCGUAAAGCGUGCGCAGGCGGUUUUGUAAGCCAGAUGUGAAAUCCCCGGGCUCAACCUGGGAAUGGCAUUUGGGACUGCAAGGCUUGAGUGCGGCAGAGGAGACUGGAAUUCCUGGUGUAGCAGUGAAAUGCGUAGAUAUCAGGAGGAAUACCGAUGGCGAAGGCAGGUCUCUGGGCUGACACUGACGCUCAUGCACGAAAGCGUGGGGAGCAAACAGG
rnacentral:rRNA from 1 species